ACCUUCACCAGGAUAAGGAGCUGGCAUCAGGCGCCCAAACCCGCCCAUGACGCCUAGUCUCACCACACCCUUAAGGGUAUGCAGCAGUGAUAGAUCUUGUAUAUAAGCGACAGCUUGACUCAGCUAAAGAAAAGAGGGCUGGCUAACCCGGUGCCAGCCGCCGCGGCUACACCGCUGGGGCCCAAGUUAAUAAUAACCGGCGUUAAGCGUGAUUAGAGUUUUAUUAAAUUAGGGCUAAAUUAAUGCUUAGCAGUGACAAGCUUGUUAUUAAGAAGAUCAUAUACGAAAGUUGCCCUAAUAGUACUUGAACCCACGACAGCUGGGGCCCAAACUGGGAUUAGAUACCCCACUAUGCCCAGCCGUAAACAAUUAACUUACACCUAUUAACGCCAGGGAACUACGAGCCAUGCUUAAAACCCAAAGGACUUGACGGUGUCCCAUCCCCCUAGAGGAGCCUGUUCUAUGAUCGAUAAUCCCCGCUAUACCUAAUCCCUCCUUGCUAUAUCAGCCUGUAUACCUCCGUCGAAAGCCUACCAUAUGAACGCAUAGUAGGCUUAAUACAUUAACACGUCAGGUCAAGGUGCAGCUUACGGAGUGGCAAGCAAUGGGCUACAGUUUCUAAUAUAGAACAAACGGAAGGCUAUGUGAAACCACAGCCAUGAAGGCGGAUUUAGUAGUAAAAAGAAAAUAGAGUGUUCUUUCUCGCCUGACGCUGG
rnacentral:rRNA from 1 species